AUUAUGAUGAAGACUGUCAAAGCCAGAAAACAGAGGAAGAAUCUAGGAGUAAAAUUGAAGCAGAGCUUGAAGCUGAAUUGGAGAGGUUAGAAUUAACUAUGAACUCGUCUAAAUUGGAGGGGAAACUAGCAGAGCUACACGAGCUUGAUCCAGAUUUUGUGACAGAUCUAGCUAAGGGGGAGUUAAGAACUGAACUCUUUAAUAGACAAGCCGGAGGUCAACCUUAUGCAGAUCAGGAUGGUAGCGGGACCUCAACUCCUCAUCCUGCUAAUUAUGCCGUCUCACCUAGAGAGCUGACUUUGCGGCUGCACGAAGUCCUCCAAACACAAUUAGAAGACCGGGUCAAGGAGCUUGAGAUGGCACUUCAGAACAGUGAAAGGAAAGUUCGUUAUAUGGAAGCAGAACUUGUAAGUUCAUGGAGGGACUCGUCAAAUAGUGAAGGGGG
rnacentral:misc_RNA from 1 species